rnacentral:rRNA from 1 species
GACGAACGCUGGCGGCGUGCCUAAUACAUGCAAGUUGAGCGCUGAAGGUUGGUACUUGUACCAACUGGAUGAGCAGCGAACGGGUGAGUAACGCGUGGGGAAUCUGCCUUUGAGCGGGGGACAACAUUUGGAAACGAAUGCUAAUACCGCAUAAAAACUUUAAACACAAGUUUUAAGUUUGAAAGAUGCAAUUGCAUCACUCAAAGAUUAUCCCGCGUUGUAUUAGCUAGUUGGUGAGGUAAAGGCUCACCAAGGCGAUGAUACAUAGCCGACCUGAGAGGGGGAUCGGCCAAAUCGGGACUGAGACCCGGCCCAAAACCCUACGGGAGGGAGCAGUAGGGAAUCUUCGGCAAUGGACGAAAGUCUGACCGAGCAACGCCGCGUGAGGGAAGAAGGUUUUCGGAUCGUAAAACUCUGUUGGUAGAGAAGAAAGUUGGUGAGAGUGGAAAGCUCAUCAAGUGACGGUAACUACCCAGAAAGGGACGGCUAACUACGUG